UGGGGAAUAUUGGACAAUGGGCGCAAGCCUGAUCCAGCCAUGCCGCGUGAGUGAUGAAGGCCCUAGGGUUGUAAAGCUCUUUCACCGGUGAAGAUAAUGACGGUAACCGGAGAAGAAGCCCCGGCUAACUUCGUGCCAGCAGCCGCGGUAAUACGAAGGGGGCUAGCGUUGUUCGGAUUUACUGGGCGUAAAGCGCACGUAGGCGGACUUUUAAGUCAGGGGUGAAAUCCCGGGGCUCAACCCCGGAACUGCCUUUGAUACUGGAAGUCUUGAGUAUGGUAGAGGUGAGUGGAAUUCCGAGUGUAGAGGUGAAAUUCGUAGAUAUUCGGAGGAACACCAGUGGCGAAGGCGGCUCACUGGACCAUUACUGACGCUGAGGUGCGAAAGCGUGGGGAGCAAAACAGGAUUAGAUACCCUGGUAGUCCACGCCGUAAACGAUGAAUGUUAGCCGUUGGGGAGUUUACUCUUCGGUGGCGCAGCUAACGCAUUAAACAUUCCGCCUGGGGAGUAACGGUCGCAAGAUUAAAAACUUAAAGGAAUUGAC
rnacentral:rRNA from 1 species